AUGCUCCUCUUGUCCAUGGACCACGACUACCUCGUCCUCUGCAACCCAGCUAGCUGUGAGUAUGGUCGGUUCCAUAUGCUGGCUGGCUUCGUCCCCUUGGGGAUGUGCUCGCACAGCCCAACCGGCAUGUACCGGCUAUUGAUGUACCAGGUAUCCUUCGGAUUGUCACCUAAUGUUAAAGGUGACUCCUAUGUCUUUGUACUAGGCUCUGACCAGCCACCCAGGCACAUAGGGUGCCCCGAUGUGCAUGAGAUGAUACUGGCCCUGCCCAUAUUGUUCCGUGGUGCUCUGCAUUGGCACAAAGAGCAGCAUGACAGUGGAAUCAGCAAAAUAUUGGUGUUUGACACCAUCGCUGAGUCAUUCCAGUACAUCCACCCUCCGACUGUUCCUGGCUGUGCUAACAUUUUUGAGAUGGAUGGAAUGCUCGGCAUGUCCAGAUUUAAUCAUGCAGCGACAACCAUUGAUAUUUGGAUGAUGCAGGACUAUGUGAGUGAGGUUUGGGCAAUCAAAUACCAGGUUAAGUUGCCGGUUCCAGAGCUCACACUUAAGUUUGGAAGUUUUAACAAACAGCGGGGUGUGGUAGCCUGUUUUUGGGAUGGUGAUUUGCAAGUACUAGUCAAAUUUGGCGAUUGGCUGCUUCAGGUUGAUGUGGACGGCAAGUUGGUUGCUAGUUUUCAUUGCAAACUCAUAGAUUACACUCAAUUUUGUCUGAAAGGAUCUCUCGUUCCACAUACCUUCUUUCCGACACUAGAGCGUUAUGUUGUGAACGCUUCUCCUUUCAUCUGA
rnacentral:rRNA from 1 species